rnacentral:rRNA from 1 species
UACGUAGGGUGCGAGCGUUAAUCGGAAUUACUGGGCGUAAAGCGUGCGCAGGCGGUUUUGUAAGCCAGAUGUGAAAUCCCCGGGCUUAACCUGGGAAUGGCAUUUGGGACUGCAAGGCUUGAGUGCGGCAGAGGAGACUGGAAUUCCUGGUGUAGCAGUGAAAUGCGUAGAUAUCAGGAGGAACACCGGUGGCGAAGGCGGCCUGCUGGGCAGUAGCUGACGCUGAGGCGCGACAGCGUGGGGAGCAAACAGG